rnacentral:rRNA from 1 species
GAUGAACGCUGACAGAAUGCUUAACACAUGCAAGUCAACUGUGGCGGGCGGGUGAGUAACGCGUAAAGAACUUGCCUCACGGAUAGGGACAACAUUUGGAAACGAAUGCUAAUACCUGACACUGUGAGAGAGCUUUGCGUCCCAGUAGCUAGUGGGAGAGGUGACGGCUCACCAAGGCGAGGAUGGGUAGCCGGACUGAGAGGGUGAUCGGCCCCAAGGGUACAGAGACGCGAGCCGUACUCCAACGGGGGACAUCGGUGAAGAUUAGUGGGAGAUUGACCGAAGUCUGAUGCAGCAUUUCUGUUUGCACGAUGCUGUUUUCGGGAUGUAAAGUGCUUUCAGUUGGGAAGCGGUACCAACAGAAGAAGCGACGGCUAAAUACGUGCCAGCAGCCGCGGUAAUAC